AUGUCAUAAACUGUUCAAACUUGUUGACACAUAUCUGAUUUCAACUGCGAAGGUUAGGGAACCCCGAGCUUACUCAAUACGGGUAAACAAGUUAGAAUGGGUUGUCGAUACGUUCACUAUUGUCGAGCAUAACAACAGACUUGCUAGCGGUGGUGGCAAAUUGUGGCGCAAUGCAGUACACCGCCAACCAAACUAAGAGAUUUCGGGAGGUCAGAGUUAUGGACGACAAGGCAAAGGCCAAUGAGAAAAUGCUAAUGGCAUACACUUUGAGAAGCUCCUCGGCCUGACCUUCAUCGCUGAAUCUUAAUUCUUAACCUAUUGACGAUGAAAUAGUAUUCAUUGCUUCGCAAUCUUCUACGGUGCAAAAUUUUUCUGUAGAAGGCGAAAUAUCAUUUCCCGACCAUUUCCAGUUUUUUACAUGCUUGCGUGUUCGGAAUGCAAACAUCUUGGGCGAAGUAAAGCAAAAAGAGAGGUUCAAUGCCUGAAAUGCAACGUACACAGAAUGUAGGUCCCAAGAUGCUACUUUGAGCUUGCCAUUACAGACGGCGGCGGCACAGCCACAACAACAGUGUCAGAAACCUUGCUUAUGCCACUUUGAGCUUGACAUUACAGAUGGCAGGGGCAGUCACAACAACAGUGUCAGAAACCUUUGCUGUAAGAAUGUUGUCCAUGACAGCUGAACAGAUAACUCUCACUAUUAAGGUGCACACAUUUAUACUGAAAUAAAUAUAACAUAUUAUCCUCCUUUAUCAUUAUAUUAGUACAACAUCUUAUUAUGUAGAUCCUAUCAGUGUGCUCUGUUUUUGACCUUAUCCUUAUACUGAAUCAUUGCCUAUCGCUCAUAUCAAGCGACAGUUUGCUCAUAAACUAUUCAGCCUUCACCUUCAAAAGUCACUAUUCAGAACGCCAUACAAAAAUGCUGGCACACUGGUCGUCUGAUCUUGCACUGAAAAACAACCCAUGUUUUCCCCAGAAUGUCCAAAGUCUGUGCUUCCCGGUGAAGGAAGUAAGAAACAAAAAAUGGCAGCCCCACUCAUACGAAGAAACAGUGAAGGUUAGAAACACAAACUAAGCAUUCCAAGUACUUGAAAUAACAUAUUCUCUAUAAUAUGUUUAUUCUCUUGCAAUACUUAUUUUAAUUUACAUAGGUAGCAGAAACCAAAGCUUGAGGGUGGUCAACGCUCAGUCAUGUCGUGUGGCAUGUAUAGCUGGAUUUUGAUAGCAAUUCCGACCUCAUAUAAUCGACUGCCUCAAUGAAGUAUUUCUCUUCUUGUGUAAUGAUUGUGAGUAGUGCGUACGUCUAUGCUGUGGCAUGUACAACUGGACUUUGACAGCCCACACCAACCGCAGAUAUCGGCCGCCUCAGCAAACUGUCCAAAUUUUUUAUUUAAAUACCUGUGAAUAGUGUGCCUGUCUUUUAUGUAAAGUCACUGUGGUCACUACUUUGCAUGUUGAAAAUGUUUGUUUCAGUGAGGUAUGUUCUUCAGUAUAUUUUACCUUUUUGCUUCCACUUGCGAUAAUUGUAGGAGAACUCUUCAAAAUAGAAAUGAACACCUCUAUUGUGAUACAACCUACAUAUCAUGUACAUAUGUAUUAUUUAAGAGUGAAAAAUAUUGAAGACAUUUCACAUCUUUCACAAACAUUGCACCAACAACUUUGGAUCCAAAUGUGUGUUCAUACUUCAAAAUUAACAUCUCUCAACUACUGUAUGUUCAAUUUCUCAACAUAAAUACAGAACAAUUCAUUGGGUAUGCACG